UUUUCAGAAGCACAGAAGGGGAGCGAGGCUUAGAGAAGAAAGAAAUCUAUCAACCACAAGAGGGCCCUGCUUUGAGGCCGACCGCAAGAAAGGAAGGACUUCUCUCUUUUUUCUCUUUCCUUCUUUUCUCCAGCCAGGAUGUGGAACUGAGCUUCCUGGAUCUUGCAGCUGGUUUGCCUAAGCCCCCUCUCUUUUAUCCUAGCUCCCUGCAAGGGAGAGAGGGGAGCUUUCAAACCAUCCAACACCAUUCCCGUGCAGGCGCCAGACACUAUAGUAUGUGCCUAACUGCAGGUAAACCUUGUGAAACAAUGUAAGGGGUGAGAGAGAAGCAUACAAAAAAUCCGGGCUCUUUAGCCCCUACCCAGACUGCCUCCCCUUCCCAGCAUAAGAUCCGAUGCACAUGGAGGAAACAAUGGAGGCUGUGUGGGAUAUAGAUGGACUUUGGUUUGGAAUUGAUGUCCCAUUUUCUUGCCCGGACUUUCAGACCUGCAUGCAAAUCUUGGGCUGGGGAUGCCCAGAGGAAGGGACAAUACUGUAGUACCACGUGAGGAUGGGUUACUUUGACGGAGGAAGGGGAUUUAUAUAUAUAUAUAUAUAUAUCUCCACUCCCACAUGACAACUUCCAUAUAAUUUAGAUCUCCUUCUUGUGCCAAAACAUUGUGAUCCACCCAAGAUCAUCUUAAGUAAAGAUGGACAGCUAUGCAAAUCUUUUAAAUCAACAACUUAAAAAUUCUUGGUGCCACCUGUGAUAUGCCUAUUCAUUAGUAUACAUGUAUUAUCCCAUGCUGUGGAAUAGUUUGUUUCCAUGGGAUGUGUAAUAGACCCUGAAGCUUUGCUUUUGGGAGGUGUUUAGUAUAGAUCCUUAAAGUAAACUCUGUAUAUUUGAAAAAGCAAAUUUUAAUCUGUGAGAGCUUUAUGCCAGAUAAUUGCCUUGACUACAACAGACUAAUUCUGUUGUGCCACUGGAAUUUGCACAGCUUGCAAUCUCUUUAUUUUUUCAUAAAUGCCUACAGCAUUAUUUUUCUCUGGCAGAAAAUUAAAAUUUAGCCAUUUAGAUGUAAUAAAUGAUAGAAAUAGUAUUAGACAUAAGAACAUAUUUUUAGUACAGAGGAUUUAAGGACUGUCCCAGAUCUGGGAUAGCCAUACCUAUGUUAUAUCAUAAUUUAUAAAUAUGUCUGCUGCAAUUACAAUUUGCAUUAAAAUGUAUUUUUGAAAGCAUUUAUUCUAAAAGUAUACAUAUUAUGCUGCUAUAUUCAUGUUUAGGGCUGUCAACUUAUUUUCUAUAGUUUAUAUUCAACCGUAUCAUAUUGCUCCUUUUUUUCUUUUCUAAGAACAGGGUCCAUAGUUCUCAGAGGACAGGAAAAAACCUUCCCCAAAUUACUGUCCCCAAAAUGUAUUCAGAUCACAAUUCCAAUUAAUCCACUGACUAAGAACUUGGGUUUGUAUAUUCCAGUAUAGAUGAAGUUCACCAGAAUCAAGAUGGCUGUUUUAAGCCUAAUAUGAUUGGGAGGAAAUCCUUAUUUGUGCAACAUGUGAAACCAGCAUCAGUAGAGUAUGUAAUAUGUGGGCCUGCAUAUCUGGAGCAUGGGUGUGCAUCUGAUUUCUGUACUCUCUCACACAUGCAUAUAAUUCAUUCUUUCAAUUUAAAAGGGGAAUAGAACUACCUUCUGGGAGAAUAUAAUUUUCAAUUUUAUGCAAAACCCUCAAGCAGUAUUUUCUCUUAGUGUCGUGCUUUUUGCUUUCUAUGCUUCCCAUGUAAGUCUGCCUGCCUGUCUGUGUCUAUCCGUCCAUUCGUCCAUCUUCUGUUUAUAUGCUGCCCAUCUCAUUCUGAAAAGCAAUUCUUGAUGUAGGCUUCUAGAUUGACGUAGUAAUCUAAAAUUACUAUUGUACAUCUGAUUGCCAAGAUCACUGAAGUGACACUCAAAUGAUUUCUGUGACAAACAGAUUCUUCGAUUACUUUUAAUUUGAUUUAAGUGCUCUCUGCAGCCUCUUGUGAGAGACAGAGGGAAAAGUCUUCAAGAACUUUAAAAAGGAAAUUCUUCUGUGGAGCAACAUGCAGGAGAGCUAUGAAACAGUAAUCUCGUUGGCAGAAGAACUUGCCAUAAGCUGGCCCCGGAUAACUGCAUUUACAGAGACUCGAGGACGCCAAGGUUUGGCCCCUGGCUUAGAAAUGGAACCUGAGCAAGGGCAGCUGGCUCCUUUACAGGGUGAGGCAGCAGCAACUACAGAUGGAUCAAACGGGGAAGGGAUCUUUCCAGACUUCCGGAGGCAACUUGGGGUAAUUCUGCAAACUAUAGGGAAGGCUCAAGUGGAGAAGAUGCUCAGGGAGUUGGUGAAGGAGCAGGAGCAGGAGCAGCAGAGAAGAGUCAGGCGGCGGAAAAGAGUGAACAGGAGUCCUCGGCAUGGAGGUGAUGAAACAGUGGAACAAAAUAACUUGGAGACUUCAAGGGAACUUCAGACUGGAACAGUGGAAGAACCAGCUGUUCUAUCCAGAAAACCAUUUGGGAAUGAAGUGCAAGGUUUCCUCAAAUGUCCGGGACUGGCAGAACCAAAGCAACCCAAGAUGAUUCGUGGUGAUAUGAGAGGGUGUAAGAAUACUCUUGCCCAGCAAAAUCCUCUAGGAACAAGAUGGGGAGCAGAACCUAGAGAGAGUGUAAACCGCAGUCCAUUCUCAAACGUGAGCCAUGGCUCCCAGGAAGCUGGGAGAAUCUGCCCAUCAUUCAUUGAAAGACCCCAGUUCUUAGGAUGGCAGAAGCCCCAUUACACACAAAGGUGUCAGCGUUUACCUGCAGGGGAGAAGCCCCAUCACUGUGCAUCAUGCAGGAGAACUGUUGCGAUCCCACCAUUAAGACCUAACUCCCCUCAUAAUUCUGCAUUGAUUCCUUUCUUGAAUUCUGCCUCUGAAUUUUCUUCUACCUUGACUCUGAAUUCUGUAGGGCCGCUGAAUACCCAAGCUCUGCCAGGUAACCCAGCUUCUACCCAGUCUCAAAAACCCCAUGCUUGUGAGGAAUGUGGCAAACGAUUCCGAAUCCUAGCAAACUUGGAACGGCAUCAGCAGCGUCACGCAGCAGAAAAACCACACCAGUGCAGAGACUGUGGGCGCCGGUUCCGCUGGGGUUGCCACUUAGAGCGCCAUAGGCGAUCACGCCGCUGUGUGGAAUGUGGUGGAGGCCUCGCAACGCCUCCUCCACCCCCAACUCCACCUCCAGAACCUGACCGACCCUAUUCCUGUGGGGAGUGUGGGAGGCGGUUUACUCAACGCUCAGCGCUCAGCAAACAUAGGCGUCUGCACUCAGGGGAGCGUCCCUAUGGGUGUGGAGAGUGUGGGAAACGCUUCCUGCAACGCUCUGACCUCACUAUUCACAUCCGCUCACAUUCUGGUGAGCAACCCUAUGCCUGCACAGAGUGUGGACGCCGCUUCAGUGUCAGUUCAAACCUCAGCAAGCACAGACGCAUGCAUCGGGGGGAGCGUCCUCAUGCAUGUUCUGUCUGCUCUAAACGCUUCCUCCAGCGCUCAGAACUUCUUAUCCACCAGCGUGCUCAUACUGGGGAACGCCCUUAUCCAUGCACAGCUUGUGGAAAGCGCUUUGCUCGCCGGGCUCAUCUCAAACGCCACCAGCGAACCCAUGGGGGAAUGCCUGCCACAACUACUGCAUCUCGGCACCAGAAUGCUCAUCUUUUCACUGCUCCCUCCCCAGAUGCUAUGUCCUUCGUGAAUAUCAACAGCAUGAAUCUUGGGUGACUGAUGUCCUUGAAUCACAUGCUUAAGCCAAUGCAGUUGCCACAGGAUUGUGCCCACUUGUAGUUGGGCCUCCUUUCUCAAAAGCUCGGGAUUCUGUGAAUGCUCCUUCACUGGGUCUACUCUGGGCUGUGCCCUUUUUAGGAUGUCUUCCCUUCUGCUCAUAGCAUUUUUGCCAGGGACAAUCCGAGUUCUGAUUAGCCCAUGGAAAUGGCAUCGUAUUAGCCCCUUAUCCUUGUUUGUUUGGAGGCUUGGCAGGUUUUUUUGCUUGGGCAUCCAAGCUUGCCCUUAUAUUAUAGGGUACGGAGCCACUGAAAUUAUUCAUGAUCAUCUGCUACAUUCCCUGACUUGUUGAUUUAUCUUGCUACUACCACUAGUGUGUCAAGUUUGACAAGUCUGGAGAGGAAAGACACAAUAACUUUACUAUCCAAAGUUAACUGCAAUUCAUUGAGGCAAGUAAUUAUGUCUUGCAAACCACAGUCAUAACAGGCAUUUAUUACAAAUUCACAGAUGUAGAUCUUUUUUCUCUUGAAAUGGUCCAUUACAUGAUUCUCCUUGUCUUCCCUAUUUUUGUAAAUUUAACCAGUCCCCAACAUUACCCUGGCCAAAAAUCUCAUUUUGAGCAGAUUUGCCCUUGUUUCUUUUGAUGGGAAAGAAAUCCAAAGAAGCUUGUCUGAAGGGCUUUGAACUCAUUACCUGUAGACAAAAAUGACAUACUUGUUGUUGAGUCUACAGUAUAUAUUAGAAUACACAUAUUGUAGCAGUCAGUGUAUAACUGAUUGAGUUGGAUGCAUUUUAUGUCUGUGGUCUAUGCUUCUACAGCUCCAAAGGACAAUCAUGCCCAAGCAUUGGAUGGUCCAGAACUGUCCAGAAACAAUGUGGUGUUGUGAUUUGCGCCUCACAGCUGUUUGUGGAAUUUGGGAAAAGAUGAGCCAUGCCUUCAAAAGUGUUUUUAGUACUCUUUCACCAUCAGCUCCUGAGAGAGCGAAGUAGGGACUGCCUCUUGUUGAGAAUUCUGGACUGGAGCAUUUUAGAAUGGAAAGAGUCUGCUUGCUACAUCUGGUGAUUCAGCCAGCUUUGAAGAGAAUGGUAAAGCUGAUGCUGUGUAAGGACAACAAUCUUUUGGUACACACUACUGUGACAGGCAAUUCCCAGGAUACUUAACGCAAAUAACUACAGAAAUUUUGUUUAAUUAAUGUUGGCUGACGAUUCUGAAAGAAAAAACAAUCUUCCAGAGAAAAAUUCACUCCCAGAAAUCACAUUCCUGAGGAUACUCUGCAGCAAUGGUAAGUUUACUCAUUAAUUCACCUAAAGUUGGUUAUACAACAAGUGGGUACUUUGAGAUAAAGUAGAUACCAUAGCAAUAUUUUCCAGCUGAUGAAAAAUGAUGAUAGAAGAAGGAUCCAAUUUGGGAGAAAAAAAAAUUACUGUAUCACAAACAGUGGCUGAAAUUGAUUUCUCAGUAACUAAGCUGUAGGGAGGCAAGAUACAGAAGGAAGAAAAAGUUGUUGCCCUUUAAUUUGGAUACAGAUAUUCCUUGUUCAGACAAAAACUAUCAGUGUACAGUUUGUCUUACUUGAUUCUCUUUAAGCCAACUGUUCUCAAACCCAUGUUUCGUACAUAUUUUAGGAAUAUAGGUAAUCCUUGUCUUAACUUUCAUAAACUUUGUAUCUGUUCAAAAUUAACACUGAAAAAUGUGAUUUAUGACUAUUUUUCACACAAUUAUUGCAGCAUCUCCAUGGUCACUAAUCAGACUGUUCUGAAAUCAUGUGAUCACCUUUUGACAAGCAGUCAGUGGAGAAGCUAUUAACAUUUAACAAUUGUUUUACUAAUUUAACAACUGCAGUAAUUCACUUAACAAUUGUGGCAAGAGGGGACGUUAAAUGGGGCACUUAAACUCAACUAUUUCAUUUAGCAACAGAAAUUUAAGAUCCAAUUGUGGUCAUAAGUCAAGGACUACCUGUAGAAAGGCUAGCAUUCUGAUUUUGCAUGCCAAUUUACCAUUUUGAUUGAGAAUUCCUACAUAAGAUUGAGAAGGACUGCUCUAGACAUUACAUCAAUUCUCCUUAACAGCUGGAAAAAAAUAUUUGGAGAGGACCUAAGGAACUCUUCUCAUCUUAAAAUUGUUCUCAAUUUUUUUAAAAGGUUUUCAUUUGUAACUUCCCCUUGCAAUUGUCUGAAACUGUUUAAAAGUAUUAAAAAUAUACCUUAA